CGAACGGGUGAGUAAUACAUCGGAACGUGUCCGCUCGUGGGGGGACAACCAGCCGAAAGGUUGGCUAAUACCGCAUGAGUUCUACGGAAGAAAGAGGGGGACCCGCAAGGGCCUCUCGCGAGCGGAGCGGCCGAUGACUGAUUAGCCGGUUGGUGAGGUAACGGCUCACCAAAGCAACGAUCAGUAGCUGGUCUGAGAGGACGACCAGCCACACUGGGACUGAGACACGGCCCAGACUCAUACGGAAGGCAGCAG
rnacentral:rRNA from 1 species